AUAGGUGACAGUGCCUGAGGAGGUACAGCAAGGGAAACAGAAGGCUCCCUUCCUCAUCUCUAACGUGUUUGGAUGCAGACACUGCGAGAAUGUUGAAGCCCCUUUCCUGAAGAAACAUCUCAUGUCCUCUGAGUUGCCAGUGGCAGGUGCCAUUCUGCCUCCUUAGAGCUGGAUGAAAAUAUUCCACCAGACAGAGAUCUUGUCUAAGAAGUCCAAGGACCAGGACUGAAAGAUGCGUGCAGAGUACAAAAUGCAUUUCUAGGAAGAAAGAUAAGAAGAAAAGCAACAUUACAAAAGCAAACUGCCUCCACCACUUGUCCCCCCGUCUCCCCCAAAAAGUUCCUGGCAAUCAGAGUGAGAAAUAAGUGGAAAUGACAACAAAUGAGCUCACACUGCAAGGACUCGAGUACCUCAAGGUACCUCGGAGCACAGCCAGGCUCUGGAGGGGAGCGGACCGAGCCCACGACGGGAGCCGUCAGAGGGGAGUAACUCACCCUCACCCUCUCUCGUAACUGGCCCUUCGCCUUCUGGCCGGUUGGCUGCUGAGAGCCUGAAGAGGCCAUUUCCACCCUCUCAGCUGAGGACUCAGGUGCGGAACUGCGUAACUCACUGCUUUUGAAGGAGAACUUCCCUGCAUUGCUGCCAGGGGCCAGGGGCGGGAAGCUGGCUCCCUCGGCCUGGGCGGUCCCCGGCGCGUCGCCCAGAGCCCCGUGGCUGACUGCUGCCCGAGGGUUUCGGUCCGGCACACGGUGGGCACCCGGCUGUCAGAGGAGGCGGGGGGGAAGGCCGGGAGCCCCGGGGCUGCCCCUUCCUCUCAGCAACGGAGCGGGGCCUUCCCCCCAGAGCUCCUGCCACCUCUGGGCCUCCUGGGCAUUUGGCCUCCCUGCCAGCACCACCUGCAGCCACAACACGGCCCCUCGCGUGGCGGGUCAGGAGCAGGAUCCAGGAGCCCAAAAUACAAAUGGGAAGGCCACAAU